rnacentral:rRNA from 1 species
AUAUGGAAGCCCAGUAAUGGGUGGAGUUGACUGGUACUAAUAGGCCGAGGGCUUGUCCUCAGUUG